AACUCAAAGGAAGUUGACCGGGGGCCCGCACAAGCGGAGGAACAUGUGGUUUAAUUCGAUGAUACGCGAGGAACCUUACCUGGGCUUAAAUGGGGAGUGACAGCUGUCGAAAGAUGGUUUUCUUCGGACACUCUUCAAGGUGCUGCAUGGUUGUCGUCAGCUCGUGCCGUGAGGUGUCGGGUUAAGUCCCAUAACGAGCGCAACCCUUACCGUUAGUUACCAUCAGGUUAAGCUGGGGACUCUAGCGGGACUGCCACCGUAAGGUGAGAGGAAGGUGGGGAUGACGUCAAAUCAGCACGGCCCUUAUGUCCAGGGCUACACACGUGUUACAAUGGCCGGUACAAAGGGCAGCUACUUCGCGAGAAGAUGCUAAUCUCGAAAGCCGGGCUCAGUUCGGAUCGAAGUCUGCAACCCGACUUCGUGAAGCUGGAUUCGCUAGUAAUCGCGCAUCAGCCAUGGCGCGGUGAAUACGUUCCCGGGCCUU
rnacentral:rRNA from 1 species